UGAGUCUUCUGAAUUUGAUGGCAGGUACGAAUCACAGUCACAGAACAACAAAUUGAAAUCUAAAGAUCAAAGUUUAAAGGCUAGCAGCAGAAGAAGAUCGAUCUCAUGUAUUUAAAGGUUCACUGUAAAGGUUAACUUCAGAUCUCGUGUUUGAAUUUCGGAUUUCAUCUUCUUACAGUUACAAUCAAAAUCUACCGAGAAUACUCAUACCAGCAGAUGAAAUACUAGCAUUUUUUCCCCAAUUCUAAUUUUAUUGUUGGUAAUCUCUGCUGUAGUUUGCACAUAGGAUAUUUAGAUUCUUUAAUUGGUAAUUUUGGUUGUGUUUAUCGAUUUGUCCCCCACAAUUUAUCUGAAUACUCUUGUCUCUCUGUCCUGCAACUUAAUUACUGUUUAGUGAUGAACAAAAUC